rnacentral:misc_RNA from 1 species
AUUUGAAAUGUUUUUUUGGUUUAAUGUUGUCUAGUGAUCAGCCUAUAGUAUGGAGGAACGUGACGGAAAAACUGUCACAUUUUCUGGUCACAAAACUCAAAUAUCAUCAGUUGUCAGGUACUGUCGUGAAGGUGGGCUCUUCACAGACGCAGAGCUUAUAUGUGAAGAUGGAAGGAUUCUAGUACAUAGGAUUGUUCUUGGAGCAGUGUCCAAGUUCUUAGCACAAGUCCUAGUAGAGACAGGAGGAGGAGGAGAUCAAGCUGUUCUUCUCCUUCCUGGAGUUCGUACUUCGGUUGCCGAACAGCUUGUAGAAUUUAUAUAUACAGGAUACAUGAAGCUGUCCCAGUUUAACUCCUGGGACCUACAGCAGUUGGUGCUGUUGCUGCAGAUCGAUCCUCAGAAUGUUGUUGUGGAAGUUUUAGAAGAGAAUGUUAAGAAACACAAAUCUAGUUUAGAAGAGGAGGAUGAGAUUAAAAUCAAACCAAAGACCGAAACACAAAAGAACGGAUCUCACAAAGCUGUAGAAUGUUUGAAGGAACGAAGUAGAAGUAGAAGUUCUAGAAAAUUAUCACAGGAUAGCCUUGGGUCAGACUCAGAGUACAUUGACUCACCACCAAGUUCGCCUUCUCCAGAUCUAACCUCGCCCCGGCCCACCACCUCACCCCGGAGUGGGGUUAUCCCGUCCUCCCGAAUUUUGUCUGGACCUUCUCCCCGCCGUGUAUCUGGGUCCUCUAGAUCAGCGGGACGGAGCAGAGCAUUGUCUGGUCGAGGAUCAGGAGAUCCUACGGUCAGCUCGUCAGGAGAGUUUAUGGCAAUCCUCAAACCAACUGAAAUCUCAAAUGUGAUAAAAAUCGUCACGUCAAGAAAGCGUCGAAACUCUCUUGAAUUCUCUAACAUUACCACAAAGGAACCCCGUGUGGAGGGAGGGCGUGGCCGGGGUAAAGGCGGAGCACUACGAACCCGUGGUAGAGCACGGAGCAGAGGUUCUAGUACACCCCGGAGUAAGGAUAAGGGUUGGCAUGACCUGCAGAACGUGGAUACCUGGGUGUGUGCUAUCUGUGGACAGUAUGAUCCUGUUCUACCCGGAGGAUCUGAGCUAGGCUCUACUACGGAGUGGAUAGGUUGUGACUGUAACAGAUGGUUCCACAAAUUUUGCACCCAACUGAAGGUUGUUGACGAUAGUUUCUGCUGUAAACUUGUACAGAAAACCUGCCUUGUACGUCCUGUGCUUUAGACCUGUACAUGUCGGUACACUGUACAGUGUACAGACAGUUCUCUGCUCUUCACUUAAAACGACACCAGCAGUCCCUAUAAAAAGUAAACCAUCUGGAUACGUUACAUACAAAUCAAUGCAAAAGACUGUCCGUCCCAAGGUUGUAUAAUAAGCAUAUAAAAACCUGUUAUCCAACGAUGCCAAGCUCCAUAUAUUGUCAUCACUACUAUUCAGUCAUAAUUUAUAAUUUACCGUUAUCAAAAUAAUUUAUUCUGUUAAAUUGUAUAUCUUCAAUAUCACAAAGCGACUCGAUCGCUUAAACUAGAAAUCAUAAUGUCUAUAUAAAUUUUCUUGAAUAAUGUUGGAAUCCAGUAUUUUUCUUUUCAGA